rnacentral:rRNA from 1 species
GUACACUCCUACGGGAGGCAGCAGUGGGGAAUAUUGCACAAUGGGCGCAAGCCUGAUGCAGCCAUGCCGCGUGUAUGAAGAAGGCCUUCGGGUUGUAAAGUACUUUCAGCGGGGAGGAAGGCGAUAAGGUUAAUAACCUUGUCGAUUGACGUUACCCGCAGAAGAAGCACCGGCUAACUCCGUGCCAGCAGCCGCGGUAAUACGGAGGGUGCAAGCGUUAAUCGGAAUUACUGGGCGUAAAGCGCACGCAGGCGGUCUGUCAAGUCGGAUGUGAAAUCCCCGGGCUCAACCUGGGAACUGCAUUCGAAACUGGCAGGCUAGAGUCUUGUAGAGGGGGGUAGAAUUCCAGGUGUAGCGGUGAAAUGCGUAGAGAUCUGGAGGAAUACCGGUGGCGAAGGCGGCCCCCUGGACAAAGACUGACGCUCAGGUGCGAAAGCGUGGGGAGCAAACAGGAUUAGAUACCCCAGUAGUCCCAUGA